rnacentral:misc_RNA from 1 species
GAUGAAGAACGUAGCGAAAUGCGAUACGUAAUGUGAAUUGCAGAAUUCCGUGAAUCAUCGAAUCUUUGAACGCACAUUGCGCCCCCUGGUAUUCCGGGGGGCAUGCCUGUCCGAGCGUCAUUGCAACCCUCAAGCGCGGCUUGUGUGUUGGGCUUCGUCCCCCCGUGGACGUGCCCGAAAGGCAGUGGCGGCGUCCCGAAUGGUGCCCGAGCGUAUGGGAACUCUCUUCCGCUCGAACCGGCCCAUUCGGCGCUGGUCGAACCCCAAUUUUUUUUUACCGGUUGACCUCGGAUCAGGUAGGGAUACCCGCUGAACUUAAGCAUAUCAAUAAGCGGAGGA